UAGGGAAUCUUCCGCAAUGGGCGAAAGCCUGACGGAGCAACGCCGCGUGAGUGAUGAAGGUCUUCGGAUCGUAAAACUCUGUUAUUAGGGAAGAACAAAUGUGUAAGUAACUAUGCACGUGUUGACGGUACCUAAUCAGAAAGCCACGGCUAACUACGUGCCAGCAGCCGCGGUAAUACGUAGGUGGCAAGCGUUAUCCGGAAUUAUUGGGCGUAAAGCGCGCGUAGGCGGUUUUUUAAGUCUGAUGUGAAAGCCCACGGCUCAACCGUGGAGGGUCAUUGGAAACUGGAAAACUUGAGUGCAGAAGAGGAAAGUGGAAUUCCAUGUGUAGCGGUGAAAUGCGCAGAGAUAUGGAGGAACACCAGUGGCGAAGGCGACUUUCUGGUCUGUAACUGACGCUGAUGUGCGAAAGCGUGGGGAUCAAACAGG
rnacentral:rRNA from 1 species